GCUUCCCAGGGGAAAAGAAGAAUGAAACAUUCCUGUAACCCUCACGUAAACUUCCAAUCCCCGUAACUUCUCCGUCCGAGCUCCAAUCGCCGCACCGUUUGCGACCACGCGUCCACCGCGUCGAGCUCUACAUUUAUAUCAGAACAAUUUCACUGGAUCCAAUUAGCUUGAGAGAAACGUUCACUCUUGCUUAUGUGAAGCUUGGGUAAGAUGCAGGUCGAGAGGCAUCUCGUUAGGCGUCUAGACUCUUAAAGCGGAGUGGUUAUUGGGUUAUUUUGUUAUGCUAUGAUGUAUAUAAAUAUAUAUGUACUUGGCUUUCUCUCCGUAUAACUUGUUCUUUUUGAUCCUCUUAGAGGUUUAUGGAGAGGCAUGAUUGUGUAUAUGUACUUUUGGGUUUUGGAUAUGUAUGUAUAUAUAUGUAAAUAUUCUCCAGCCAGUCUUGACUUCGCAGGCUGAGUUAGGAGCUUGUUAUUUUGUUUCUUUGGCACUCUAUUCCUACUUCUGUUAUCUUAUGUUUAAUAAUUAUGAUUUUCUUAGCACG